GAUGAACGCUGGCGGCGUGCCUCAAACAUGCAAGUCGAGCGGGGCUAUGUAAUAUCGCAAGGUAGAACAUAGCCUAGCGGCGAACGGGUGAGUAACACGUGGGUAACCUGCCUGGAAGACAGGGAUAACGAUUCGAAAGGGUCGCUAAUACCUGAUAAUAUCCUUUCAUCGCAUGGUGAUAGGAAGAAAGGGGAAACCCGCUUUCAGAUGGGCCCGCGUCCCAUCAGCUAGUUGGUAAGGUAAAGGCUUACCAAGGCGACGACGGGUAGCCGGUCUGAGAGGAUGUACGGCCACACUGGGACUGAGAUACGGCCCAGACUCCUACGGGAGGCAGCAGUUGGGAAUCUUAGGCAAUGGACGAAAGUCUGACCUAGCGACGCCGCGUGAGGGAAGAAGGCCUCGGUUGUAACUCUGUCAUGGGGAAGAAGUAAGUGACGGUACCCAACGAGGAAGCCCUGCUAACUACGUG
rnacentral:rRNA from 1 species